AUUAUUAUUUGUAACUCAAAAAAAAACAUAUUUUUUAAUUUUUUUUUUAUUUUCAGAUUAUUAUGUACUUCAAUCGUGUCAAAGUGCGUCAUCGUUUAAAAAAUGGAAUAAAGCACAAUUAUUUCAAAUGAUGUUUCGCCUCUCAGAAUGGCAAGAGCAAAACAACGCUGUCGCCGUCGAAUGCUACCAACCAGACUGCAAAUGGAAUUGUAUACAAUAAAGAGUAACAUAAACAACACUUAAACGGAAAAACACCCACGGGAGCAGCAGUAUCAGGAAGAGGAGAAUUCUAUGAUGAUCCUAUCGGAGCAAAUCUUCAUUCGAAAAGGUUCCUCUACACACAGCCUUCCUAGUAUAUUUUGGCUUUUACCUGCUCAUGAUAUUGGCCUACAUCAAUCAAUUUAUGUGUGCCCCAAAAGUAGCUAAAGAAAAUAAUCGAGAGAGCUAUGUUCGCUAUUCGAUACCUUCGAGAAUUCUAUUCACGGUAUGUCUAUCGGAAGGUCCGAGAUUGCUGGGAUUCCCCAAUUUGCAGUGUCCCUGGGGGGGGAGGUAACUCUCAAAGAUCGCAUUACCAAGGAUUACGGUUGGACAUUUGAGUUCACUGGAAGAGAAACAAGAUGCUUGAACAACGUUGCAGAACAGACGGCUAGGCAGUCCCCGUUGUGAAGUGUGUUGGAGUAUUCUAUUGUCCGAAGUUAUUGCAUUGAUGAAGAAAUAUAAACCUUAUUUGUAUUUGUAUGAGACUCAUAGUGUGGUAGCAAUGAGAGCAAAUGGUCGCGAUAUUGUCGACUAUUAUGGCGCCGGUCCGAAAGAUGUUGAUAUUCUAAUGGGAAUAUUUAAAAAGAGCUUUGGCAGUGCUGGUGGUUAUAUUGCUGGAACAAAGAAACUAAUUGAUUGACACAACUAGCUCGGAAUACACCAUAUUUCCGACGACGAUUGGCCCAAUUAGGUGCCAUUACCUAUGACCAUGAAGAUUCUUCUGUUGUACCGAUGCUCGUCUAUCUUUUUUCCAAAAUUGGAGCUGUAGAUCGUACACAAACUUUCCGUAAGGUAGCUGUUGUUGGAGUUGGGUUUCCUGCCACUCCAAUUAUGGAAGAACGUACAUAUACGCUUAAUAGCAGUUUGAUUAUGCCUUACAAGUGAUUGAUAAAACAAGUAAUUCAGUAAACAGUUUGCCUAAAGUAUUCAUGUAAAGUAAGAGAUUCUAAUCCGAUUAUUAAUUAAGUUAAAAGGAAUAAAUACAUAAUAAUAAAUAAAUGAAUAAGGUCAUUUUAUAAUUCGUUUAAUAAGAAUUUCAUUUAUUUGAUGUAUUUUCCCAUAUACCUAUAUAUAAGUAUAAAGUUAGUUACUAAAGAUCUAUUAUAAUAUUUCUAUCACUAAAAAUAAAUAAGUA